rnacentral:pre_miRNA from 1 species
AUGGCAUCUUACUAAUAGUAUUUGAUAAAGAAUUUUCUAAUACUGUUAGGUAAAGAUGCCAGC